GAGCCCACAUCCUUAACCUCAAAAUCCGUGUCAUGUAACUCACUCUACACAAAUAUCCGACGGUUCCAAAGGCACCCUUAAAACCAGGCAGCUGUUGCCAAAGCAAACCAACCAACACGGCAAAACGAACCAGCAAAGCCAGAACCGACGACCUUUUGUUUUCUUUUUUUGGGUUCAAGUGGGAUUAGGGUUGUUUUCAUUUUCAGUUGAAGAAGAGAAGGAAAAUGGUGAACCCAAGGUGUUAUUUGGACAUAAGUAUAGGAGGAGAACUAGAAGGAAGGAUUGUAGUGGAGUUGUACACGGAUGUUGUGCCUAAAACUGCUGAGAAUUUCAGGACUUUGUGCACUGGUGAGAAAGGCAUUGCUCCUAACUCUGCUGCCUCCCUGCAUUACAAGGGUGUGCGCUUUCAUCGCAUUAUCCGAGGUUUUAUGAUACAAGGUGGGGAUAUAUCAGCUGGUGAUGGAACUGGGGGAGAAUCCAUUUAUGGCUUGAAAUUUGAAGAUGAAAAUUUCGAGUUAAAACAUGAAAGAAAAGGAAUGUUAUCGAUGGCUAAUAUGGGGCCUAACACCAAUGGGUCUCAAUUCUUCAUUACAACUACUCGAACAUCUCAUCUCGAUGGAAAACAUGUGGUUUUUGGGAAGGUUAUAAAAGGAAUGGGUGUUGUUCGUUCUAUCGAGCUUGUUGCUACUAAGGAUGGUGAUUACCCCACUCAAGAGGUUAUAAUUGCUGAUUGCGGAGAAAUUCCUGAGGGGGCAGAUGAUGGAGUAUCCAACUUUUUUAAGGAUGGUGAUAUAUAUCCUGAUUGGCCAGUUGACCUUGAAAAAAAACCAGAUGAAAUUUCUUGGUGGAUGAAGGCAGUAGACUCUAUUAAAGCUUUUGCAAAUGAGCAAUACAAGAAACAAGACUAUAAGGUUGCUCUUAGAAAAUAUUGGAAGGCUUUACGUUACUUGGAUGUCUGCUGGGACUUGGAGGGAAUUGAUCAAGCAAAGAGCUCGUAUUUGCGGAAGACCAAGUCUCAGAUGUUUACAAACAGUUCUGCCUGCAAGUUGAAACUAGGCGAUCUAAAAGGAGCAUUGUUGAAUGCAGACUUCGCGAUUCGUGAUGGAGAAGAUAAUGUGAAAGCUUUCUUUCGUCAAGGCCAGGCAAAUAUGGCACUUAAUGACCUCGAUUCUGCAGUUGAGAGCUUUAAAAAGGCAUUGGACUUGGAACCCAAUGAUGGUCAGUACAAUCUUGUCUCAAGUGAAUAGCUGCGAAACCUCUUCCAUGCUCCCUCCCUCCAUCUUCUAUUACUUGCCUCCCCCUUUACUGGUUUGAGGUGGAAUAAAGAAAGAGCUUGCGGCUGCAAGGAAGAAGAUUGCUGAUAGACGGGACCAGGAGAAAAAGGCAUACUCUAGAAUGUUUCAGUAGAACUUUAGUCAACAUUAUGGUACUGCAACAAUCUUUAUAUUUGCUUUCUGAAUAUCUAAGUUUCAUGUUCUCUAGUAAACCGUGUUUUCAUGAUUUGUAGGCCGACUUUUGUCUUGAAGGAUCAGUUUUGGAUUUUCUUUUUCA